rnacentral:rRNA from 1 species
AUUGAACGCAGGCGGCAUGCCUUACACAUGCAAGUCGAACGGUAACAGGUCUUCGGAUGCUGACGAGUGGCGAACGGGUGAGUAAUGCAUCGGAACGUGCCCAGUAGUGGGGGAUAGCCCGGCGAAAGCCGGAUUAAUACCGCAUACGACCUGAGGGUGAAAGGGGGGGAUCGCAAGACCUCUCGCUAUUGGAGCGGCCGAUGUCAGAUUAGCUAGUUGGUGGGGUAAAGGCCUACCAAGGCAACGAUCUGUAGUUGGUCUGAGAGGACGACCAGCCACACUGGGACUGAGACACGGCCCAGACUCCUACGGGAGGCCGCAGUGGGGAAUUUUGGACAAUGGGCGCAAGCCUGAUCCAGCAAUGCCGCGUGCAGGAAGAAGGCCUUCAGGUUGUAAACUGCUUUUGUCAGGGAAGAAAUCUUCUGGGUUAAUACCUCGGGAGGAUGACGGUACCUGAAGAAUAAGCACCGGCUAACUACGUGCCAGCAGCCGCGGUAACAC